GAUGAACGCUGGCGGCGUGUCUAACACAUGCAAGUCGAACGACGCACUCUAGCUUGAUUCUUCGGAUGAAGGCUACUGUGACUGAGUGGCUGACGGGUGAGUAACGCGUGGGUAACCUGCCUCAUACAGGGGGACAACCGUUCGAAAUGACUGCUAAUACCGCAGACGACCAAGGAGUCCCAUGGCUCAGCUGGAAAAACUCCGGUGGUAUGAGAGGGACCCGAGUCUGAGUAGGUAGUUGGUGGGGUAACGGCCUACCAAGCCGACGAUCAGUAGACGACCUGAGAGGGUGACCGGCCACAUUGGGACUGAGACACGGCCCAAUCUCCUACGGGAGGCAGCAGUGGGGAAUAUUGCACAAUGCGGGAAACCCUGAUGCAGCGACGCCGCGUGAGCGAAGAAGUAUUUCGGUAUGUAAAGCUCUAUCAGCAGGGAAGAAAAUGACGGUACCUGACUAGGAAGCACCGGCUAAAUACGUGCCAGCCGCCGCCGUAA
rnacentral:rRNA from 1 species